AGCGGCCAUACCAUGCUGAAUAUACCGGUUCUCGUUUGAUCACCGAAGUCAAGCAUCAUUGGAGCAUCAUUGGGCGCGGUCAGUACUUGGGCGGGUGACCACCUGGGAACACCGCGUGCCGUU